GAUUCUUGAGACUACAAAUAUUUUUUAAAAAAAAAUUCCUUUCCGAAUCCUUUAUUCCCCAAUUCACUUCUCUAUACUUUCUCUCUGCAUCGCGCGCACCACUGCUGCUCCGGCGCCGACAGAACCAUUGUCCACCGACGACGACCAGUCAUAUACAAUCUCUCUUCCGUUAUGAUUUCUCUUGGCAUGAGUUACUUAUUUCCCACUCUCUCUGCCCCUAAUUUUCUAGAAUCUCCUCAGCCACUUGCUUCUUCUACUGCCUCUCUUCAAGUUUCAGUUUGAAAUACUUGCUUAAGAGGCUAUAUUCUGUCAAGAGGUAUGGAUAGCUAAAAAGCUUGCUUUUUGGUUAAGAGGAAUAUUUGCUUCAAAAUAUUGUUACCAUUAUCCACAUGAAACUGUUUGCUACUAUCUAUAUGUAUCCUUGUUGCUGUCCCUUUGCUGUCCCUUUGGUCUGCAAUAUAAUAUUUCUUUCUUUCCUUUUAUUUUAGAGCAAUCAGAUUUAGUCUUGCUGAUGUCGCUUUGGUUUGGAACAUAAUCCCUCAGUUGUGCAGACAGUAGUGAAAUUGUAUAGUUAGAUUGAAAAAACCCAAAACUAAUAUGUUUUAGUAUUAUUACGAUUAAUUGAUAUUUCUAUGUUUCUUUUGUACGUUCAAAUUAAAAAAUAAUGUCCUCCCAGCCAUAAACGUGCCAGUUUGCCAAUUUGCCAAUUUGCCAAUGCCAUCCUCCUCACAUACAUCACAUGGCCAGGUUCUGCGGCUGCUUCCUCUUCCUCAUUUACCUAAAAGAAAGGGUCUAUAUCUCUAGUAUUUGCAUCCAAAAGUCCCAUGCCAUGCCCUGCAGUACUAGCUAGCACUACUGCCUCUGUUGUACUUGGUCCCCUGAUUUGGUUUUUUUGAGCCAUGUGAUGCUUUCAGCUCCCUAGAUCCAACUCCAAUUGCUAUUUUUUAUUAAGUCAUGUUUUACUGCCUAUAAUUGGGACCUGCAGUUUGAAGUUUUUGAUUUAGACAAUUCAUGUAUGCUGUCAAAACAUAAAUGGUGCAAAGCUAAUGCCGAGAACAGAAAAAAGAAGCAAUAUGAUCAUACGGGGAUUAACGUCCAUGUAGAUGUGCACUGAUCAAGCUUGAGCAGUAAGGCCUUUCAGUCUUGUGGUUAGUAGGUUUGCUUUUCCUCGGAUGUUUUCCAAUUAUGAGGUGAUAUGAUACUCUUCCUCUUGUCUUGGCAUUAUUCUCAUGGCUAUGAAAUUUCAAUGUGCAAUGAAUGGCUAUAUCAAUCGAAAAGAUUAGUUUUGUGUAAAAUUGAAUGCAAGUAAAUUGUAUUGCAUACCUCUGUGGUGUCUGUGGUUGACUAGUCUGUGUUGCAUAUCUAUACUAAGGCCAGCUCCGUGAACAAACUGUGUACUGGAUUGGGCCCCAAUUUGGGGCCAUAUCUAUUAAAAGUUUAAUUUGAACUUAUUCGAUGAAAUUUGACCUUUUAGCGACGAAAAGUGGUGGUCGCCGAAAGGAAUUUUCCUUGUAGCUCAUUGUGUCUUAUGUUAUUUAAAGAAGGCACCAGGCUAGGGUAUUUUGUUUCCCACAUAGAGUUCCUUAUAGCUAAGGGGUUAUUGCGCCGCCGAUUGGGCUGGGUGUUAUACCACAAGAAGGUCAGUCACGAGUUUUUGCAUAUUCCUUAGUGAUGCACCUAUAUAUUGGAAGAGCAAGAAACGAACCACUGUGUCACGUUCAUCAGCAGAGGCAAAGUAUAGAUCGAUGGCCUCUAUCACUUGCGAGUUGGUAUGGUUGAAAUAUCUUUUGGAAGACUUGCAAAUUAAGCAUGAACAACCAACAAUCUUGUUAUGUGAUAACCAAGCUGCUUUACACAUAGCGGCAAAUCUCAUAUUCCAUGAGCGUGCAAAACAUAUUGAGUUAGAUUGCCAUAUAGUGUGUGAAAGGACCCAACCAGGUCUUAUUGCAACUACUCAUGUACCUUCUGCCCAUCAAAUUGUAAAUAUAUUCACAAAACCUCUUGGGAGUGCACUGUUCCAUCACCAUCUACGCAAGUUAGGAGCUUUGGAUAUCCAUGCUCCAACUUGAGGGGGCGUAUUGAGAAUCAGCAAAUCUCUUUAGUCGCGUUUAAGUCAAGCCAUAAUUGUAGGACUCUCAUGCAAUCUUUCCAUUAUUCUGAUUGUAAUCAAUUGCAAGACUUUAGGCACGAGUUUAGUUAACUUUAUGUAUACAGCUCUUCCUUUCUUGUAUUGAAGAUUUGUAUCUGCUUGCUAAAACAUCAAUGAAAACACGAGAAAUUUCUCUGCAA